UCCUGCUCUCCUUAAUGUUCCUGGUUUCCAUCCUAUUCUUUCUAUUCUCCUCGUUAUUAAUCUUAUGUCAUUAUAUUCUGCCUUCAUCUGCUCGUUCAUACAUUCAUGAAGAAAUCUUCACCUUCAGGUUUGUCCUUAUUUAAAUAGAAACUGAUCUUCAGCUCACUUUUCUGUUUCUGAGUCUCGUUAAGGUUUAAAAUUGAUGAAGAAUCGGUUCAACUCACGCAGCUCGAUGUGAGGAUUCAGAGUCUGUUUCUUCUGUUUAUCAGCCGAGUCUGAUUCCUCUGCAGAAAGGAAGUAAACAAGUAAACAUUUAGAGGCUUUAAGGAAGUAAACAAGGUAAAUGUUUAGAGGCUUUAAAGAAGUAAACAAGUAAACAUUUAGAGGCUUUAAGGAAGUAAACAAGGUAAAUGUUUAGAGGCUUUAAAGAAGUAAACAAGUAAACAUUUAGAGGCUUUAAGGAAGUAAACAAGGUAAAUGUUUAGAGGCUUUAAAGAAGUAAACAAGUAAACAUUUAGAGGCUUUAAAGAAGUAAACAAGUAAACAUUUAGAGGCUUUAAAGAAGUAAACAAGGUAAAUGUUUAGAGGCUUUAAAGAAGUAAACAAGGUAGACAUUUAGAAGCUUUAAAUGUUUAUCUUCAGGUAAACGUUUAGAAGCUCUGACUCUGCUCUUAUUAAACUCACUGAUGGCUUCGGCGUCGCUGCUGCUGCGGUUCUGAGACGACGUCGACUCGUUGGGUCGAGCCGGACUGUUCUUCAUCCGACCGUCGACACUGCUGGAAAGAAAACAGGAAAUGUACUGGAUUGAACCCGAGAGUUUAUUCAGUUUAAGAGUUCAGUCUGCUUUGUUCCUUCUGUUGUUUUAAUGUUUUAUUUAAAAAAAUCAACUAAUAAAACUCUUUAAUGCCUUUUAUUUCAA